AAACAAAAACAAACGCCCGUGAGGCCGUCCCGGCGCGGGGUGCUGCCCGCCGGCUGGGCUGGGGCGCGGGUCUCGGCAGCGAGGCCGUAGUGGCAGCAAACGCCAAUAAAGAACGAUGUUGACCUGCAGCUUACACAAGCACAGUUUGGUAAUUAACGUGUGCCGUUCGCUGUUUUGUCGCUGUUGAUAUCGUAUGUAUUCAUCCUGAUUUUCCCACUUUACCGCUCAGUGCUUUCUGUGUUCUCCUCGGAGCGAGGAGCAGUUUUUGGGGCAUUGUUUGACUGAACUUCGGAACUCGCUGCUGCAUUUUUCAAAGUCUGCUUCGUUACAGAAAACUGUGCAAAGACGGCGUGUCAACACAAAAUCAGCUCUUCACGUGUGAUGUCAGACAUAUUGUCACUUUUCAAAAGCAACGCUCUCCCCUGGCUUGCAUUUUAUAUGGUUGUCUGCUCGUGUAAAGCGAGAAGCAUUCUGGUUUAGCACCGUGUUACCCCUGCGUUUUGUAGCUGCAUGUGGCAGCAGAAUAAUGUCCCGCUGGAGAAUUUGACUCAUAAACUUCAGUUUCCCUCUGCAAGUGAUGCUGGUACAAAGCUUUGCUCACAAGAGCACGUAGGUUCUGGUUCUGCAGACAUAUGCAGUGUUUAACACAUGGCAAGUCCCACCGUGUAGUGUCGUGUGUUUAAAUGCUAACAAGGCUGGGUCCCGUGUCGCCUUGUUUUUCCUAGAGACACAAAAAUAGUUUUGUAUUGGCAUGAGAGAUAAAAAUACUAUAUUCAGAAGGACUCGGAUAAAAAUAAGUCAUGCAGCAUUUGUAAUGCUUUACUUAGCACUCUGCACACCCAUUAUGUCACUGCAUUCAAAGUGUGCAUCCUCUGUUGUUUACAAACUACGCUGCACAAGAUGCAGCUCCAGGAGCACUGACAGUACGAACAGCACACACUGAGUCAGUGGCUGUGACAGCUAAGAAGGAGACAUUGUCGUGGUGCACGAUAUCAAAGAUUCGCAGUGUAAUAUCUCCACAGCAUGGCUUGACGCAACAUGAAAAGCUUCACAAAGGAACAUUUGCCAUGCACAGAGCGUCAGAUCUCUGGUAUGAUAUUUU
rnacentral:lncRNA from 1 species